rnacentral:rRNA from 1 species
CUCACCUAGGCGACGAUCCCUAGCUGGUCUGAGAGGAUGACCAGCCACACUGGAACUGAGACACGGUCCAGACUCCUACGGGAGGCAGCAGUGGGGAAUAUUGCACAAUGGGCGCAAGCCUGAUGCAGCCAUGCCGCGUGUAUGAAGAAGGCCUUCGGGUUGUAAAGUACUUUCAGCGGGGAGGAAGGGAGUAAAGUUAAUACCUUUGCUCAUUGACGUUACCCGCAGAAGAAGCACCGGCUAACUCCGUGCCAGCAGCCGCGGUAAUACGGAGGGUGCAAGCGUUAAUCGGAAUUACUGGGCGUAAAGCGCACGCAGGCGGUUUGUUAAGUCAGAUGUGAAAUCCCCGGGCUCAACCUGGGAACUGCAUCUGAUACUGGCAAGCUUGAGUCUCGUAGAGGGGGGUAGAAUUCCAGGUGUAGCGGUGAAAUGC